AUCAUAAGCUUUCCAUUCCCCUUGUAAUCAUCAUUAUUUGUACGAUACAUAUACAAUCGAAUGAUAAAUAUAUUUUCCGACAUAAUCAUACACAAUUAUUGGCAAAUUAUACAUGUUAUAGUAAUGAUUACUAGAAUGGGAAAUGAAAAAUAAUAUGCCGGGAAAAAAUCAUACCUGAUAUAAUUUGGGUAGUUAUUCACACCCGACCGCAUAAAAAGAUUUUUUUAUUUUCAGUGUUGUAGUGACAUUUUCUUGCUGACGGCGUUGAUCGCGAGGUUGAUCGCCGGAAUUUUUUUUAAGUCGUUGGUGAGCUAAAAAACAAAAAGGAUGCAAAGUCCACUACACGGGAAAACGUUAAACGGAUUCAUGCCGCCUGCGGGCACUGGUGUUACGCCACUCCAUACAGCGCUGGCGGAAUAAGCAAAUCGGCUGAAUAAAAAGGAUAUGCUUGAGAUGGUGGAGUAUCCAGCUUGGUAAUGGCGGAGAUCAAACGUCCCUGUAUUUUUAAACUGAUAAUAGUUCCAGCAAAAAUAUGGAUGAUGUAAAAACUAUGUAAAAAACUAUGUAAUAUAAUAGCAAUAAUAGCAACUUUCCUGUGUUGGCUUUAUUUCAA